rnacentral:rRNA from 1 species
UACGUAGGGGGCGAGCGUUGUCCGGAAUCAUUGGGCGUAAAGCGCGUGUAGGCGGUCCGGUAAGUCCGCUGUGAAAGUCGGGGGCUCAACCCUCGGAUGCCGGUGGAUACUGUCGGGCUCGAGUACGGAAGAGGCGAGUGGAAUUCCUGGUGUAGCGGUGAAAUGGCGCAGAUAUCAGGAGAACACCAAUGCGAAGGCAGGCUCGCUGGGACGUGACUACGCUGAGACGGCGAAAGC